rnacentral:sRNA from 1 species
CCCUAGCCCUAAUAGAAAUGGAAAUCCUUUUGUGUCCGUCCCGAUAGCUGUAGGGAGGCACAAAAGAUUACUUCGUCAGUUCGCUAUCGC